rnacentral:rRNA from 1 species
AACGAACGCUGGCGGCAUGCCUAACACAUGCAAGUCGAACGAGACCUUCGGGUCUAGUUGCGCACGGGUGCGUAACGCGUGGGAACCUGCCCUUAGGUUCGGAAUAACUCCCCGACAGGGGUGCUAAUACCGGAUAAUUUCUUCGAACCAAAGAUUUAUCGUCUUUGGAUGGGCCCGCGUUGGAUUAGCUAGUUGGUAGGGUAAAAGCCUAUCAAGGCGACGAUCCUUAGCUGGUCUGAGAGGAUGAUCAGCCACACUGGGGCUGAGACACGGUCCAGAAUCCUACGGGAGGCGGCAGUGGGGAAUAUAGGAAAACGGGCGAAAGCCUGAUGCAGCAAGGCCGGGUGAGUGAUGAAGGCCUUAGGGUUGUAAAGCUCUUUUAUCCGGGAUGAUAAUGACAGUACCGGGAGAAUAAGCUCCGGCUAACUCCGUG